rnacentral:lncRNA from 1 species
GAGCAGGCAGACGGAAGCCUUUCUCCUCAGAGCCACAGAGACGUGUUCACAUCUGACGAGGAGCUGGAGAGAAGCUGGGUACGAGCUCUGACUGAUUUCCUGCUUCAUAUUUAAAUUCACAACAUUUCAGGCUGAUUUUAUGGUGUUGUUGCAUAAGUACAGCAUGGACCUUACUACCUGUAUAAAUGAACAGCUUCAACGUUCGUGGAUGUUGCUUGAUUCUGACAAAAAUAAAAUUAAUUCUCGUCCUUUAAUUUUGUAAAUCUCUCAGGAACCAAGUCCGAUGAAGCGUAAAGUGAAAGGUUUUGGUCCAACCAGAUCCAGAACAUCGUCAUCUGACAAGUCCAGAAAGUCCUCAGGCAGUGCAUCCCAACCUGACAAAGGGAGACAGAGGAAGAAAGUGAAGCGAUCGGACGUCACACCAUUGGACGUGGUUCUGGACGAGUUUUUGGACUUCUUCGAACAAUACAAGUCAGUUCAUUUAUUAAUUCAACACCAUUUUACACAUUUUAUUAAUUAACAAUGUUUAUGAAUGAUUUCAGAGAGACGGUGGAGUCCAGCGCCGUGAAGAAGGCUCUGGACCUUUUGCCUCAAAUGUGGAAGAACAACUCACAGAGCAGAUCUCCACCAAUAAACGGCUGAAGGCUUUGACGAGAGAAAACACAAAGGUAAUAAAUCCAUCAAUAACUGGCUUCAUACUGACCCAGGCGAUCUGUAUAGAACCGUGUUCACAGUAAAUCUCUGUUGUUGUGUUGAAGAUGGCCUCAGCGAUCCACACAAAGAGACAGAAACUUUUGGACGCCAAGAACGAACUCAUGAAAUCGGAGAGACAGCUGUGGCUUCUGCAAAAGGAAAAAUCUGAGCUGGAACAAAAGUCGGAGGAUUUGAAACGAAGCAAAACGUUUCUCCAAAACAUUCGAGAACUCAACGCACGCUACCUGCAGCACCGACGGAAGCACCCGGACGAGAAGGAAACGUACGGUGCCUCCAGUUUAGCGGCUUUACUCAUCGAGGCCAAACACGUCCAAACAACAGAACUUCAGCUGAAGGCAAUCAACAACCACCUCGAAAACGCUGUAAAAGACAAAUAGCACAUUUUGUUAUAGAAUGUGUGUUGUGUCGCUCAGACCCUCUUCUUAAUUUGUGUUAAAAAUGCUUCAAGAAAACAACUCUAUUUUAGUAUUCAACUUAGGGCUGCACAAUAUAUCGCAAAAAUAUCGUAUCGCGAUAUUGGGUGAUGCAAUAUCCGUAUUGCGAGAAGCCACAAUAUAUCGUAACUAGAGCUGGGUGAUUGUUUUUUUGUUUGUUUGUUUUAGAAAAAAUGCGAUUCGAUUCCCCCCCCCCUUUAAAACAAAAUAACUGCGAACUGUAAAUAUAUUUGAAAAAUAUAUAUUUGUAUAUAUUUAUAUUUGUAUUGCACAUACAAUAAAUUGCAAAGGCAAACCCUUUCUCUAACCGAAGGACACUGUGCAGUGUGCAACAAAGAUUGUUAAACAUCCAAAUUAUUUAUACUGUAUUUGAACUGAGCUAAUAAAACAACAAAAAUUCCGUAGGUGGGCUCUGUUAUUGUUGGCACAUUUUCCUCUGAGCAGAGAGCAAAAUCGAUUUGACCCACCAACUAGAUUUUUCCCCCCAGCCCUAUUCGUAACAUCACUAAAGUCUUCAUCAGAUCAACACAUUCUUUUACAAACUCAGCCAAAAAUGCACUGAAUUUAUAAAUGUGUAAAAGUUUGAAACUUGAUUUAAAUUUUUAAAGUUUAGUCCUGUUGUGGCGCUGAUGUAGUGUUUCUUAAUCCCCACCUGAACCGAGCACAUUUUCUCCAGUUCAGCUUUACCUGACAAAUAACUUUCAAAAAUGCAAGGAAAAAGUAACGACAACACGGCAACAACACAGCGAACAAAAAAAUUACCAUUUGUGUUCACUUAGAAAGGAACAUAUAGUGUCUAAAUGGUUUUGUGAAAUAUCGCAAUAAUAUCGUUAUCGCUUUAUUGCAAGUUACUUCAAUAUCGUGCAGCCCUAAUUCAACUAUUUAACUCUUAACCGUUUAUGUUUGAAGAUUCUCUGUCGCUUAUAAAUAAUAAAAGUUUUACUAUACCUGAUCUUGUUUCCAUGAGCUCUCAGGCUUGUUUUCUUGCAUUUCUGUGACAGUGACCCUGAAAGUUGAGAAGUGCUUAUAAACCCGUCCCUGUGAAGAAUCGGGAUGUUACUGUUCUUACAAAAGUUAAGAAUGGGUUUGGACCACAACCUGAAAUGUAUUGCUUGUUGGCUACUUUAGAAAAUGCCUCCCAAACAAACAUUGUAAGCCUGCAUUUUAUGAGCUAAUCUUCCACCCGUAUGUUGCAAUAACAUGUAAUAGCUUUGAGCUUUUCUAGUUUUCCUUUCACUUUUGUUUUGGAGGUAAUAAAUAAGCAGCUGUGCCAUUUUGUUUUUAGGUACAAGUACAUUUAGCCUCUGCAGUUUUAACUAGUUCUCAUCCUAUCAAAGCUUAGUUUAUGUUGUCCUAGUCUUAUAAUAAUGGAUCAUCUGGGUAAUCCAAGGAGGACAGGUCGCCUAAUGAGUAUAUUCCUAAGAAAUACCGGCACAUUUCAAACAGUUUACCACAGUUUAAAAGGUACGUGGGCUGUUUCCCAAAGCCUAGGUGACUUGCAUUGGUCUGAUGUGGCUGUGGCAUCCACGUCAUCACUCACUGUGUUGGGGAGAAUACUUUGAAAUUGUAUUUAGUUACUGAAUACUUGCCUUAAAAUGUAUUUUGUCUAAUCAGAGUACUGUAUUCUGAAUACUUUGAAUUCUUUUAGAAUACUUUCACAUUGAUUGUCAAUAUAUUUAUGUAUAAAUAUGGCGUAUAAUUACAAAAAUGAAGACUAUGAUUGUUGGAACACCUGUUAUAAACUCACUUACCAUUAAUUAGGAACUCUUUAACUCUCUUGACAAAUGGAGCAGCAGAUACAGC